rnacentral:rRNA from 1 species
GAUGAACGCUAGCUACAGGCUUAACACAUGCAAGUCGAGGGGAAACGAUGAGAGAGCUUGCUCUCUUAGUCGUCGACCGGCGCACGGGUGAGUAACGCGUAUCCAACCUGCCUCUGACCAAGGGAUAACCCGUCGAAAGUCGGACUAAUACCUUAUGCAGUCGUCGGAAGUCAUCUGAUGACGACGAAAGAUUUCAUCGGUGAGAGAUGGGGAUGCGUCUGAUUAGCUUGUUGGCGGGGUAACGGCCCACCAAGGCGACGAUCAGUAGGGGUUCUGAGAGGAAGGUCCCCCACAUUGGAACUGAGACACGGUCCAAACUCCUACGGGAGGCAGCAGUGAGGAAGAUUGGUCAAUGGGCGUAAGCCUGAACCAGCCAAGUAGCGUGCAGGAUGACGGCCCUAUGGGUGGUAAACUGCUUUUAUGCGGGGAUAAAGUGAGGGACGUGUCCUUCAUUGCAGGUACCGCAUGAAUAAGGACCGGCUAAUUCCGUG